rnacentral:rRNA from 1 species
GGGUGGUAAAUUUCAUCUAAAGCUAAAUAUUGGUCGGAGACCGAUAGCGCACAAGUAGAGUGAUCGAAAGAUGAAAAGCACUUUGAAAAGAGAGUUAAACAGCAUGUGAAAUUGUUGAAAGGGAAGCGUUUGCGACCAGAGUCGGCCGCGGGGGUUCAGCGGGCAUUCGUUGCCCGUGCACUCCCCCGCGGGCGGGCCAGCGUCGGUUUCGACGGCCGGUCAAAGGCCCCCGGAAUGUGUCGCCUCUCGGGGCGUCUUAUAGCCGGGGGUGCAAUGCGGCCAGUCGGGACCGAGGAACGCGCUUCGGCACGGACGCUGGCUUAAUGGUCGUAAGCGACCCGUCUUGAAACACGGAC